CCUACGGGAGGCAGCAGUGGGGAAUAUUGCACAAUGGGGGAAACCCUGAUGCAGCGACGCCGCGUGAGUGAUGAAGUUUUUCGGUAUGUAAAGUCCUAUUAUUAGGGAAGAUAAUGACGGUAUCUGACUAAGAAGCACCGGCUAACUACGUGCCAGCAGCCGCGGUAAUACGUAGGGGGCAAGCGUUACCCGGAAUCACUGGGUGUAAAGGGCGCGUAGGCGGGAGAGCAAGUCAGAUGUGAAAGCCUAUGGCUUAACCCCAGUACUGCAUUUGAAACUGUCCAGCUGGAGUACAGGAGAGGUAGGUGGAAUUCUUGGUGUAGCGGUAAAAUGCGUAGAGAUUAAGAGGAACACCAAUUGCGAAGGCGACUUGCUAGACUAUAACUGACACUGAGGCGCGAAAGCGUGGGGAGCAAACAGGAUUAGAUACCCGGGUAGUC
rnacentral:rRNA from 1 species